UCCUCUCUUCUUCUCCCCUCUUCCAUGUCCGAAAACUUAGCCCUAAAAACCUUGAUUUCCUCCACUUUUAUCAACAAAUCAACCAUGGAUUUUGCAUCAACAAUGAAGAACAAGUGAAGAUCAACAUUUUCAACCGAUUGGAUUGUGAAAUUUCGAAGUUAUGCUCUUGACCUAGCUUCCUUGCUUUCAAUCUUGAGGGCAUACUUCAGGAGGGUCAAGCACUCCGUUGUAGCACUGUCACCAAUCAGGUGGUCAGUCCUAGCCAAGACCCCCGCUUUCUUUUGUCAACCUUCGUAUGUCCAGGCACUGUAUAAGCCAUUUAUUUUGUCAAGUUGUUAAAAUGUUGACUUGCUUAUGGGUGUCCCCCUAAGGUUGUUGUAUAUCCUUUCAUGUUUGUUUUUUUGUAUACGCCCAAAUCAUGGGGCUGGCAUUGUAAAUAUGUAUGUAUAUGCUCCGAGUUAUAGUUGGAACUUUAUCUAUCCACUAUAAUGCAUGUGAUGAAUGAGAUCCUGGCAUGUAGAAGUAGCUCAAUGGAGUUUAUUUGUUUCAUUAUUUCCA